CACAUCUGGAGGAAGUCAAAGCCGCGCGGCCCAGAGAGGAGCUCCCAGUUCCCGGCGUGUGCUCCGCGGGUCCAGCGCCCACCAUGCGGCCCCUGGUCCUGCUGUGGGGCUGCCUCGUGCUCCCAGGUUAUGGAGUCCUGGUGGGCCCGAAGGAGAUCAGCGGAUUUGAAGGUGACACCUUGUCCCUGCAGUGCACCUACGGGGAGGAGCUGAAGAAGCACAAGAAAUACUGGUGCAGGGAGGGCGGUCUCCUGAUCUCCCGCUGCUCAGGCACUAUCUAUGCGGAAGAAGACGGCCAAGAGAGGACGGCAGGCAGGGUGUCCGUCUGGGACAGCCCCGAGGAGCUCACGCUCACCGUGACCCUGAGGAACCUCACCCUGCAGGACGCCGGGAAGUACUGGUGUGGGGUCUCAAGACUGGGCUUUGACUGGAGUUUCUUGGUGUCUCUGCGCGUCCUUCCAGGUCCCUGCUGUCUUCCCUCCCCCACGCCCUCCUUCCAGCCUCUUGCCACAAGGAGCCUCCAGCCCAAGGCAAAAACUUGGCAAACGCAGCCCCCAGAAUUGACUUCUCCUGGUCUCCACCCGACAGUCACCACAGCCAAGCAGAAGACAGGGGCCGAGGCCUCUCCGUUCACAGGGACCUCCGCGUCCAGGCACACGCAAGCCUCCCCGUACGCGGGAACCGCUCCGUACGCAGGGACCUCUCCUCACGCAGUGACCUCUCCGUUCACGGGGACCCCUCCUCACGAAGCCACCUCUCCUCAUGCAGGGACCUCCCGCCCAGCCACGCAGCUGGACUCCACCUCGGCAGAGACCAGUCUUGUCCCCAGCAGCCGCAGCUCCAAGUCCAGGGUGUCCAUCCCCAUGGUCCGCAUCUUGGCCCCGGUCCUGGUGCUGCUGAGCCUUCUGCUGACCGCAGGCCUGGCUGCCCUCAGCAGGUACCUGCUCCGGCGGAGGAAGGAAGCUCAACUGGCCGCCGAGACACAGAGGAUGGAGAAGGUGCACCUCCCACACUCGCCGCUGGAGAACUGCUGGGUCCAGGAGUGCGCCAAGAUCAACACUGCAGGGCCUGCUGGGCCUCGAGCCAGCCCCCAGCCCUCCUCCAGUCCCUGCAGGGACAUCGGGUGCCUAAGCCAGAAAAUUCUUGAAUAGCUUGUCAGGAGUCACAGCUUAAAGAGCUCUGGGCUGGCAGGAUUCCAACAUCUGCAGCCAGAACCUGACUUCAGAGGAAGCUGAAGCCUCUUCCCGGGACCCAGAGGGGGCCACGAUCCCAGGGCCUCCCCUCCACUUGUCUGAGGAGGAGCUUGACUUCUCUAAGUUCAUCUCGGUCUAGCCACAGAAUGCCCUCCAGGCCAGGCCUGCUGUGAAGCUGAAUGGCUGGAUUUGCACCUACUCUAAUAAGCUUUCUGCUACAGCUUCAGAGUUCACCUGCCAGACUCCAGGGCUCCCCCUCCCCCUCCCCAGGCUCUCCUCCUGCAUGCCCCAGCCUGACCUGGGAGCCUUUGUGGGCCGUGGAGCCCACAGUGGUGGCCUCACAGUUCCGGCAGAGACUGGCACCUCCCCAAUGUGUUCACAUCCCUGGGCAGGGCUUGCAGCUGCUGGACCUAGACUGUCACCAGGGCCAGGCAGGGCUCAGGAGAGCUGGUCUGGGCUUGUAUCUGCUGCAGGAAAUCCCAAGGGCCUGGGUGCCCAGCAACAUGCCUCCCCCCACUCCACCCCACCUUCUCCUCCCUUCCUUCCCUCCUCAGCCUCAGCACCCCUUUCUCCUGCAUAAGCUGGGGAGGAGGGAGCGUGCUGGCGUUGGACUGGGUUCUGAUUUCCUGAAGCGUGGCUAUGAACCACCUGCAUCCCAGUCCUUCAGGAAGCUGGUGAAAAAUGUGAUUCCUGGGCCCAGGACUCUGCAUUUCUAACAAGAGCCCAGUGAUUCGAAUACUCGAGUUAGAGAAGCAGUGGCCCUGUUGAACGCUCAGGUCCCUCCAGCUUUGAAUCUACACUUUGUGUGUGGGGUCUCCCACCUGCCCCCUGUAGGGGUUGCUGUGCCCACGACACCAUGAGCCAGCUGGGGGCUUUCCGGGGCCUGCCUGAGUCCAGAUCCAGGGCAGGGGCACACCGGAAGGGGUGAAUCCAGUAGGGGCAGGAGAGAGGGGACAGGGCAGGAACCUAAGGGGAACCUGAACGUGACCCUGACUCAGGCUCUCUGGAGAUGGGGUGGGAGUGAGGGGUUAGAAUUACAGAACUACUAUUGUUUCUUUUUCUAUUUUCUUUAAAAAGUGAAAGGAGGGGUUGCUCAGUAUACAAAACUUAGAAAGAUAGAAGAGGAGAAAAGUCAGCCAUGGUCUCGCCAUCGCCCGGACAAUCCUCACUGCAUUUUGUUGUAUUUCCUUCCAGUCUUUUCCCUUCCCGUCGUUUGCUGGUGUUCUUUUACAAAUAUUUUGUAUGUACAACUUUGUA